CAGCCGCCACGGUAACACGUAGGUGGCAAGCGUUGUCCGGAAUUAUUGGGCGUAAAGGGCUCGCAGGCGGUUUCUUAAGUCUGAUGUGAAAGCCCCCGGCUCAACCGGGGAGGGUCAUUGGAAACUGGGAAACUUGAGUGCAGAAGAGGAGAGUGGAAUUCCACGUGUAGCGGUGAAAUGCGUAGAGAUGUGGAGGAACACCAGUGGCGAAGGCGACUCUCUGGUCUGUCACUGACGCUGAGGCUCGAAAGCGUGGGUAGCGAACAGGAUUAGAUACCCCAGUAGUCCCUGUCUCUUAUAC
rnacentral:rRNA from 1 species